rnacentral:misc_RNA from 1 species
GAUGAAGAACGCAGCGAAAUGCGAUAAGUAAUGUGAAUUGCAGAAUUCCGUGAAUCAUCGAAUCUUUGAACGCACAUUGCGGCCAUAGGUAUUCCUUUGGCCAUGCCUGUUCGAGCGUCAUUUACACCCUCAAGCCUAGCUUGGUGUUGGGCGCCUGUCCCGCCGUUUUCGCGCGCGGACUCGCCUCAAAGUCAUUGGCGGCGGUCGUGCCGGCCCCCUCGCGCAGCACAUUUGCGCUUCUCGGAGGCCCGGCGGAUCCGCGCUCCAGCAAGACCUUUCACGACUUGACCUCGGAUCAGGUAGGGAUACCCGCUGAACUUAAGCAUAUCAAUAAGCGGAGGA